rnacentral:rRNA from 1 species
AGCCUGAACGCUGGCGGCGUGGCUAAGACAUGCAAGUCGUACGGUGUAGCAAUACACAGUGGCGAACGGGAGAGUAAUGAAUCGCUAAUGUGCCCCGGACUCUGGGAUAGCUAGCUGAAAGGCUAGGUAAUACCAGAUGACAUAUCUUUAUCGCAUGAUAGAGAUCUCAAAGGUCCGCCGGUCUGGGAGCAGGCGAUUUCGUAUCAGCUAGUUGGUGAGGUAACGGCUCACCAAGGCGACGACGCGUAGCCGGACUGAGAGGUUGGCCGGCCUCAUUGGGACUGAGACACUGCCCAGACUCCUACGGGGGGCUGCAGUAACGAAUCUUCCGCAAUGCACGAAAGUGUGACGGAGCGACGCCGCGUGUGGGACGAAGUCCUUCGGGAUGUAAACCACUGUCAGGGUUACCAAGUUCUGAGGAACCCAGAGGAAGGACGGCUAACUCUGCGCCAGCAGCCGCGGU